AUAUAGAUAUAUAAGUAUAUAUAAAAUAUAUGUAUGUAUAUAUAGAUAUAUAGAUAGAUAGAUAGAGUGGAGGAAAUACGUAUUUGAUCUCUAACUAAUUUUGUGAGUUUGCCCUCUGACAAAGAAGUGAACAGUCUAUAAUUUUAAAGGUAGGGUUUUCUUUUAACAAUGAGAGACAGCAUAUAGAAAAGAAAAUGCAGAAAACCACAUUAUAUAAAGGAUAUAAAUAGAUUUGCAUUUCAUCCAGGGAAAUAAGUAUUUGAUCCCCUGCCAACCAUUAACAAUUCUGCCUCCCACAGACUGGUUAACUAGUAUUCCUCCUCCUUAGACACAAUGUCACCUGCAGCAAAGAUAUAUAUAUAUAUGUAAUAUCUUGUAUAUGUAAUAUACAUAUCUGUUAAAACCUGAGAUUUGGCAAAAGGUUCAAGGGGGCUUUUAUAUACUAUCUAAUACUUUUGCAAGCCACUGUUUCUUAGAAAUUCACCCAUAGUGUUUGUAUACAAUUCAGUCACCGAAACCAACACGCCCAAAGACUGAGUACCAGCCGAGCUAUAUAUUAUAAUUCCAUGUAUCCUUACUGCCAUUGUUCCUACUGCUAUCCUUUUGGGACUGUUGCAGGUUUUAUUAUUACUUAUUUAUGAUUGAUGAAUAAUUAUGUGUCGUAUGCUCGAAAUACAAGGGGCCCACAGAUUAAGGCUCUAAACCCGUGGACACUCCUGCUUCUGUCCAAAGUGCCUUUGGACAUUUCCACUUUAACAUGCAAUAAGCCGAUCUGUUUUAUUUUCACGUGUGACAUCUCAGCUAACUGAAAAUAGGGCUACUUGUAUGAUGUUUAAAUACAGAGCUGCAUUUGACUUGACACUGUGUUGACAUGUCAUGAUUUGAAUAAAGCAGACGCCGUGAUCGCAGCUUUGCUAUUAACUACCUGACCAUUAACUACCUGGAGAGCAGGGCAGUUUUUCCGCCGAUGCUAGUUAAGCUCGUUAGUUUCUACACAUUUUGUGGGUUGUUGUAGCUCUACAUUUUCCCAUUCUUGUCACGCUCCACUUCAGCUUCUUUUGUGAGUGAGACGCCGCCGUCCAGGAAGGGUUCAUGUUUUACCUCAUAGAUUUUGUUCGCUCGGAUAUCGUGUUUUGAGUUUAUGUUUUUCUUUUCUCUUUCCUGUCGCAUGGCUCUUUAUAUGAUGCCAUGAUUGACUGGUGCGUGUGAGCAUUCAUACACCUGACUACCCAUGCACAGGACGUUUAAGCUUAAAUUUGACAUUUGUAAAACAUGGUGUACUGUUUUCAGCCACUCAGAGUUUAAUUACUCUUUCAUGUUUGGCUCAAGAGGAAGCCCGUACUGUAUUUGUCUAUGGCAUAUUGCUGCUACAAUUAACAAGUGUGGCAUGUCUCACCAGGCAGUCUUGUUAAUAAAUGGUAGUUUAAUUAACUCGAGUUAAUUAAAAUGCCAAUGGGGUCAUGUUGGGCCAACAUGACCCCAUGUGCAUUUUUUUUCUCAGAAACUGUCAAUUAGAUGCAAAGUUCAAUGUAUAACUACUACUAGAAGUAUUCUAAGCUUUGAACGAGAGUUGCAACAAUUUAUCGUCAACUAAUCAAUGAGCAAAUGAAUAAUUUUUUGUAUCAAAUUUCAAUCAAUUAAUCGUUAGCUUUUUUUAAUAGUCCAAUUCCUCAGAAUUUCACCUUAUCAGUAGUAUACGUAUAUUCUCAGAUUUUUGUAGUCCCCCAUGUAUCCAUGAUCAUCUUUGUGUUGAAUUUUUUGUUUAUACGUUGAAAUACAAGUUUUUACCUAUUUUCUGGCUUGUUCCAUCCAAAUCUGUGACUGAAUCAUAAAACAUUUACGCAUUUUUCUACACUGUGAAUGUGAGAUAAUGCAUUUUCAAUAAAGCGUAAAUUAUAACAUUGUG